rnacentral:rRNA from 1 species
GACGAACGCUGGCGGCGUGCUUAACACAUGCAAGUCGAACGAAGUGGCGAACGGGUGAGUAAUACGUGAGUAACCUGCCCUCCUUUUUGGGAUAAGCCUUGGAAACGGGGUCUAAUACCGAAUAAAGGGGGAUGGGCUCGCGGCCUAUCAGCUGGUUGGUGGGGUGAUGGCCUUCCAAGGCGGUGACGGGUAGCCGGCCUGGGAGGGUGACCGGAGACAUUGGGAAUGGGAUACGGCCCAGAGGGCGGCAGGAGGGAGCAGUGGGGGAUAAUGGACGAUGGGCGGAAGCCUGAUGCAGCGGCGCGGCAUGAGGGAUGAAGGCUUUCAGGUUGUAAACCUCUGUCGCGAUCGAGCGGGUAGGUGGAGAAGAAGCGCCGGCUAACUACGUGCCAGCAGCCGCGGUAAUUC